UACAGAGGGUGCGAGCGUUAAUCGGAAUUACUGGGCGUAAAGGGUGCGUAGGUGGUUAAAUAAGUUAGGUGUGAAAUUCCCGGGCUUAACCUGGGGACUGCGCCUAAUACUGUUUAGCUAGAGUAUUGUAGAGGAAAGUGGAAUUCCCGGUGUAGCGGUGGAAUGCGCAGAUAUCGGGAGGAACACCCGUGGCGAAGGCGGCACUCUGGGACGGUACUGACGCUGAGACGCGAAAGCGUGGGGAGCAAACAGG
rnacentral:rRNA from 1 species